rnacentral:misc_RNA from 1 species
GUAAUAUUUGUCCUUUUUAACAACUUGUAUGAUUAAAAUGUAUAAUCUUUCAGUUAUAUUACUAGUAUACAAUACAAAAUUGAAAUCUGUUCAUAAAUGAAUUAUUUCUAUGCAUAUCACAAAUAAGAAUACAUGACUUGUAAAUUCAAAAUCAAAUUGUUAAUAAAUUUAUGUGAAUCAACUCAUAAAUAUGCCUAGAAGAACUCAUUUAUUAAACAAGCACCUCAGGCAUGACUCAUUCAUCAGACAAACUUUAGAAGUAAGCUCAAGUAAAUUUUAAUGAGCGGAACUCCCAACUUAGUAAUUUACCCACUUUUGAAAGUCCUAUUUUAGCCUUACCAGAAAAAAAAAACAUCACCUAAUGCAUAGUAAUAUCUAGAAGUAAAUAUUCAAAAAGGUGAAAGUUUUAUUCCUAUACUUGAUAUCAACUAUCACAAAAAGAACUACCAUAUCUUUCCUUGCACCCGCCAAACUUUUUUUAAUUUAUUCUAAGUUGCAAGAAGAAAAUAAAAGAAGACAUCUUAAGGGUUCCUAUUUAUUUAAUAUAGAAAAGUUUCUAUUUAUUAGAAUUAGAAAAUAACACCUUAUACAAUUGUUAAGUAUUGCAUUUAGAAAUAAUUCAAGUUCAAGAGUAUAACCAUUUCCUG